GGAACACAGGAGGAAGACACACAUACUGACUUUUAGACCCAACAAACACCGACUGAAUAGGCUAGGACCUUUAUACAUCAGAUAAUUGGGAAAACACAGCUGAGAGGAAUUACUAAAUCAAUGGGGGACAUGGAACACAUGGGGAAGAAACUAGACACACCUGGAAUCAAAUUAACAAACCACGGGAGGCAGAAACUGGGUCACAGGGGCAAAAACACACAUAAUGAGUUCAGGGGUGUGACAUUACUCCCCCCUCCCGGAAGGUGCGACCUCGCACCGUAGAAACAGAGGGAGGCAUGUGUGGAACUUGGGAGGAGGUUCCAGUGGAGGACGGACCCCCAGGAGGGGGCCAGCAGACAGAGACCACAGAUGAAGGAGCCAGGGAGGAGACAAUGGAGGGAGGAGACAGGAGGGACCUGGAGCAGGAGGAGCCCGGCAGGACCCAGGCCGGACCCAGGCCACAGCCAUGGAGGAAAGGCCACCGACUCCAGGGGGCCGACCAACGGCUGAGGUGGAGAUAGAGAGCCAGGGUGACGGGGAGGAUCCGGAGGUCCAAGGUGGAACCGAUGGUGCUGGCGACCAACGCGGAGAUGUGGAUCCGGGAGGCCGCGGUGGAGCCAGAGCAAUAGAAGACUGAGGUGGAGCCGAGGGGAUGAAGGAGCCUUAUUGAGCCAGAGGGUUGAGGCGAAGCCAGAGGAGUGGAGUCCUGAGGUGCAGUAUGGUCGAUGCCAGACCCAAGGCGGAGCCAGAGGGACGAGGGAGCCAGGCGGAGGAAGAAGCUAGGAGCCAUGGUGGAGCCGACGGGUCAACGGGCCGAGGCAGAGUCCAGGUUAAGGAAACUCCGACCACAGCGACGCUGGAGGAUGGCUGUCCCGCAGAGCUCGCAACGCAGUGAUGGUGGGCUGAGGGCGAGCAGAGGGGCUGCCAGACGACAGCGGUGGAGGAGGCAGGAGCAGGUGGGAGGGGACACUCUAGGAGCAGGCACAUUCUAGGAGCAGGCACUGGAGGGCACAUUCUAGGAGCAGGCACUGGAGAACUGGAAGCCCCCUCAGGGCUGGACAAGGAAACCAAGGACGAAGGAGGACUGGACGGGACCAGCAGAGACGGAUAGAGGAGAGGGGGCAGUUCACCUUCCAGUUACGAUUCCCAGUCUAUGAGAUCCACUUCCUCAUUUUGUCCCUUUUGCCACGCCAUAUCCAGCUCACCCUCAGCCGUGAUGCAGGGGGCAGAGCUGCACUCCACACUCACACCGUCAGCGGCUUUCUCCCUUGCGGUGGGCACUGUAACUCUGGCACCUGGUCUGACAGGUUGGGCUCUGGCUCUCCAUGAUCGGUGGGCUCGGGCUUAUGCUCCGUACCGUGGGCUGGGCUCUGGGUCGGGAGUGGCACUGGCGAUCAAUCCCUGGGAACAGGUGGGGAACAGAACCAUUUCUCGCCAGUGUCCACUCCAUGAAGGCGGCAAAAUUAGCUCAGGGACCGUCCUCUGACAACGGUGUUCAAGCUGGCAUCGUAGAAUGCACAGGGAGCGUCGUCCGGGUAGUUGGUGAUGCUUGCCAUGAACCAGAACAGUAUGGUGUGUGUCCCGAGCAAACUCUCCCCCUGCCCCAACAGGAGGAGGUAUUCCGGGCGAAGGAGAGGAUCCAUAUAACACAACGGAAAGAAAAAGGACUGAGGAAAACCAGAAAACAAACAGAGGAUAGACA
ensembl:lncRNA